GUUUAUCAGACCAUGUGGACACCUCCUAGUGGUGGGGUUGUUAGGAGUGUUUAUCAGACCAUGUGGACACCUCCUAGUGGUGGGGUUGUUAGGAGUGUUUAUCAGACCAUGUGUUAUCAGUUCAUACAGGUGAUAAUGUAGAUAGACUAACCCGAUGAUUCAGCCUAUGUAUUUAUAGUCACUAUGCUGCAUCAGUUCAUACAGGUGAUAAUGUAGAUAGACAAACCCCAUGCUUCAGCCUAUGUAUUUAUAGCCACUAUGCUACAUCAGUUCAUACAGGUGAUAAUGUAGAUAGACAAACCCCAUGCUUCAGCCUAUGUAUUUAUAGUCACUAUGCUACAUCAGUUGAUACAGGUGAUAAUGUAGAUAGACAAACCCCAUGCUUCAGCCUAUGUAUUUAUAGACACUAUGCUGCAUCAGUUGGGUUGCAGGUGAUAAUGUAGAUAGACAAACCCCAUGCUUCAGCCUAUGUAUUUAUAGACACUGUGCUGCAUCAGGUGAUAAUGCUUAUUACUAAUAGCUGAUAAUAUACCAUCCAUACAGGUUUUUUGUUCCAAUGUGUUAAAAUCAUUUAACAUUUUUACCAAUAUCUUAUUGGGCUCAUUUCUGGAGGUGUAAAUUAUAUUUUAGAUGGUGUCAGCAUAAUUUUAUUUUGAUACAUUUUGGAG
rnacentral:lncRNA from 1 species